AUAAUGGCAUUGAAGAGGACAGUAGUAAAGGAAGCAAAUUAUAGAGAGACAGUCGCCUGGUGAAAGAUUGUCAUUUGCCGUUUUACGAAAAUCACCUUGGAGCUGGAGGGCUGAAUCAAGUAAGCCUUUUCGCAGGCAUGCGUUACAUGCAUUGAGUGAUGCACUGAUUGAUUACAGUUGUGCAUAACCUGGGUGGUACCGCGGUAUAAUAUCGUCCCUUUG
rnacentral:ncRNA from 1 species